rnacentral:rRNA from 1 species
GGGCCCGCACAAGCGGUGGAGCAUGUGGUUUAAUUCGAUGCAACGCGAAAAACCUUACCUACUCUUGACAUACUUGGGAGCUCUUGUAAUGAGAGUGUGCCUUUUGGAACCAAGAUACAGGUGCUGCAUGGCUGUCGUCAGCUCGUGUCGUGAGAUGUUCCGUUAAGUCGGAUAACGAGCGCAACCCUUACCCUUAUUUGCCAGCGAUUCGGUCGGGAACUAUAAGGGGACUGCCGGUGAUAAACCGGAGGAAGGUGAGGACGACGUCAAGUCAUCAUGGCCCUUACGAGUAGGGCUACACACGUGCUACAAUGGCGUUGACAAAGAGCAGCGAUAGCGCAAGCUUCAGCUAACCUCAAAAAUACGUCUCAGUUCGGAUAGAUCUCUGCAACUCGAGUUCUUGAAGUUGGAAUCGCUAGUAAUCG